UCAGUCAGCGCAGCGUAAUAAUAGAAACUAACCAGGAUUCCCUUAGUAACGGCGAGUGAACUGGGAUGCCAAUAUAUAAUAUGUACCUCGCGUGCAUAAAUUAGCCCGUCGAUACUAUCCUAGCGUAUGUCACCGGUCUUCAGGUCGGUACUCAAAUACGCGGGAAUUGUAGCAUCGUAAUAAUUAAAAAUAUACAGCACACACACACACACACACACAUAAGAACCCACGCCAACCUGCGUACACCACUUGUAAACACACAGCGUCUCCGCGUUGGAAAGCAAGUAUAUAUCCUCUUUGGAUGUGCCAUAGAGUGUGACAGCCACGUUUCACCCAUAUGAUAGUUACGCACACACACACACACAUACACCAAUGGCGCGGCGUGCGAGUGCACAACGUAUAUAUACUAUAACCUGAGUCGAGUUAUUUGGGACUAUAGCUCUAAUAGUUUGGUUGGUGGUAGUGACACAUCAAAGGCUAAAUAUUGGUUAGUCGAUGCAUAUUGCGGAGACCGAUAGCAUACAAGUACCGUAAGGGAACGAUGAAAAGCACCCUAUUGAGUUCACGGCGCAGACUCGACAUUCGUGUUUUGUCCAGCGCCCAACAACUACAGUGGGAGUGAAAGAGAGAGU
rnacentral:rRNA from 1 species